GCCGAAUUAGUUUAGUGGUAAAACAGAUGCAUGGUAAGCAUCAGAGACAAGUUCAAUUCUUGUAUUCGGCACCA
rnacentral:tRNA from 3 species